rnacentral:rRNA from 1 species
GUUAGGAAUAUUGGACAAUGGGCGCAAGCCUGAUCCAGCCAUGCCGCGUGAGUGAUGAAGGCCUUCGGGUUGUAAAGCUCUUUAGUCCACGAAUAUAAUGACUGUAGUGGAAGAAUAAGCCCCGGCUAACUUCGUGCCAGCAGCCGCGGUAAUACGAAGGGGUCGAGCGUUAUUCGGAAUCACUGGGCGUAAAGCGUGCGUAGGCUGUUUUGUAAGUCAGAAGUGAAAGCCCAGGGCUUAACCCUGGAAUUGCUUUUGAAACUACAAGACUCGAAUUCGGGAGAGGAUAGCGGAAUUGUCAGUGUAGCAGUGAAAUGCGUAGAUAUUGACAGGAACACCAGUGGCGCAAGCGGCUAUCUGGACCGAUAUUGACGCUGAGGCACGAAAGCGUGGGGAGCAAACAGGAUUAGAUACCCGAGUAGUCC